rnacentral:rRNA from 1 species
AGCGCAGGCGGGAGAACAAGUUGGAAGUGAAAUCCAUGGGCUCAACCCAUGAACUGCUUUCAAAACUGUUUUUCUUGAGUAGUGCAGAGGUAGGCGGAAUUCCCGGUGUAGCGGUGGAAUGCGUAGAUAUCGGGAGGAACACCAGUGGCGAAGGCGGCCUACUGGGCACCAACUGACGCUGAGGCUCGAAAGUGUGGGGAGCAAACAG